rnacentral:piRNA from 1 species
UCACUAUUAUGGGCCAUUUUGUGUCAGA